UACGGGGGGGGCAAGCGUUGUUCGGAAUUACUGGGCGUAAAGGGCUCGUAGGCGGCCAACUAAGUCAGACGUGAAAUCCCUCGGCUUAACCGGGGAACUGCGUCUGAUACUGGAUGGCUUGAGUUCGGGAGAGGGAUGCGGAAUUCCAGGUGUAGCGGUGAAAUGCGUAGAUAUCUGGAGGAACACCGGUGGCGAAGGCGGCAUUCUGGACCGGCACUGACGCUGAGGAGCGAAAGCCAGGGGAGCAAACGGG
rnacentral:rRNA from 1 species